rnacentral:misc_RNA from 1 species
UCGCCUUUCUUGAACUUGAAUUCGUUAACUAUUUUCAUCUCUUCGUAAUCGUCGAACACUCUCUUCUUCUCUGGGAUCCCUUCCAUUUCAUAAUUAUCGUCGAUGACCAUGUUAUCGACCCUCAUCUUUAUCGCCGCCUUGUCUUCUGCUUCUUCCAUUAACGACGCGACGCUGCUCUCAACAGCACCAAUAGAAUCAUU